GAUGAAGAACGCAGCGAAAUGCGAUAAGUAAUGUGAAUUGCAGAAUUCAGUGAAUCAUCGAAUCUUUGAACGCACAUUGCGCCCUCUGGUAUUCCGGGGGGCAUGCCUGUUCGAGCGUCAUUACGCCCCUCAAGUCCCCUGUGGACUUGGUGUUGGGGAUCGGCGAGGCUGGUUUUCCAGCACAGCCGUCCCUUAAAUUAAUUGGCGGUCUCGCCGUGGCCCUCCUCUGCGCAGUAGUAAAACACUCGCAACAGGAGCCCGGCGCGGUCCACUGCCGUAAAACCCCCCAACUUUUUAUAGUUGACCUCGAAUCAGGUAGGACUACCCGCUGAACUUAAGCAUAUCAAUAAGCGGAGGA
rnacentral:misc_RNA from 1 species